rnacentral:rRNA from 1 species
AUUGAACGCUGGCGGCAGGCCUAACACAUGCAAGUCGAGCGGUAGAGAGAAGCUUGCUUCUCUUGAGAGCGGCGGACGGGUGAGUAAUGCCUAGGAAUCUGCCUAGUGGUGGGGGAUAACGUUCGGAAACGGACGCUAAUACCGCAUACGUCCUACGGGAGAAAGCGGGGGAUCUUCGGACCUCGCGCCAUUAGAUGAGCCUAGGUCGGAUUAGCUAGUUGGUGAGGUAAUGGCUCACCAAGGCGACGAUCCGUAACUGGUCUGAGAGGAUGAUCAGUCACACUGGAACUGAGACACGGUCCAGAAUCCUACGGGAGGCAGCAGUGGGGAAUAUUGGACAAUGGGCGAAAGCCUGAUCCAGCCAUGCCGCGUGUGUGAAGAAGGUCUUCGGAUUGUAAAGCACUUUAAGUUGGGAGGAAGUGCAGUAACCUAAUACGUUAUUGUUUUGACGUUACCGACAGAAUAAGCACCGGCUAACUUCGUGCCAGCAGCCGCAGUAACAC